GGUUAAGCGACUAAGCGUACACGGUGGAUGCCCUGGCAGUCAGAGGCGAUGAAGGACGUGCUAAUCUGCGAUAAGCGUCGGUAAGGUGAUAUGAACCGUUAUAACCGGCGAUUUCCGAAUGGGGAAACCCAGUGUGAUUCGUCACACUAUCAUUAACUGAAUCCAUAGGUUAAUGAGGCGAACCGGGGGAACUGAAACAUCUAAGUACCCCGAGGAAAAGAAAUCAACCGAGAUUCCCCCAGUAGCGGCGAGCGAACGGGGAGCAGCCCAGAGCCUGAAUCAGUGUGUGUGUUAGUGGAAGCGUCUGGAAAGGCGCGCGAUACAGGGUGACAGCCCCGUACACAAAAAUGCACAUGCUGUGAGCUCGAUGAGUAGGGCGGGACACGUGGUAUCCUGUCUGAAUAUGGGGGGACCAUCCUCCAAGGCUAAAUACUCCUGACUGACCGAUAGUGAACCAGUACCGUGAGGGAAAGGCGAAAAGAACCCCGGCGAGGGGAGUGAAAAAGAACCUGAAACCGUGUACGUACAAGCAGUGGGAGCACGCUUAGGCGUGUGACUGCGUACCUUUUGUAUAAUGGGUCAGCGACUUAUAUUCUGUAGCAAGGUUAACCGAAUAGGGGAGCCGAAGGGAAACCGAGUCUUAACUGGGCGUUAAGUUGCAGGGUAUAGACCCGAAACCCGGUGAUCUAGCCAUGGGCAGGUUGAAGGUUGGGUAACACUAACUGGAGGACCGAACCGACUAAUGUUGAAAAAUUAGCGGAUGACUUGUGGCUGGGGGUGAAAGGCCAAUCAAACCGGGAGAUAGCUGGUUCUCCCCGAAAGCUAUUUAGGUAGCGCCUCGUGAAUUCAUCUCCGGGGGUAGAGCACUGUUUCGGCAAGGGGGUCAUCCCGACUUACCAACCCGAUGCAAACUGCGAAUACCGGAGAAUGUUAUCACGGGAGACACACGGCGGGUGCUAACGUCCGUCGUGAAGAGGGAAACAACCCAGACCGCCAGCUAAGGUCCCAAAGUCAUGGUUAAGUGGGAAACGAUGUGGGAAGGCCCAGACAGCCAGGAUGUUGGCUUAGAAGCAGCCAUCAUUUAAAGAAAGCGUAAUAGCUCACUGGUCGAGUCGGCCUGCGCGGAAGAUGUAACGGGGCUAAACCAUGCACCGAAGCUGCGGCAGCGACGCUUAUGCGUUGUUGGGUAGGGGAGCGUUCUGUAAGCCUGUGAAGGUGUGCUGUGAGGCAUGCUGGAGGUAUCAGAAGUGCGAAUGCUGACAUAAGUAACGAUAAAGCGGGUGAAAAGCCCGCUCGCCGGAAGACCAAGGGUUCCUGUCCAACGUUAAUCGGGGCAGGGUGAGUCGACCCCUAAGGCGAGGCCGAAAGGCGUAGUCGAUGGGAAACAGGUUAAUAUUCCUGUACUUGGUGUUACUGCGAAGGGGGGACGGAGAAGGCUAUGUUGGCCGGGCGACGGUUGUCCCGGUUUAAGCGUGUAGGCUGGUUUUCCAGGCAAAUCCGGAAAAUCAAGGCUGAGGCGUGAUGACGAGGCACUACGGUGCUGAAGCAACAAAUGCCCUGCUUCCAGGAAAAGCCUCUAAGCAUCAGGUAACAUCAAAUCGUACCCCAAACCGACACAGGUGGUCAGGUAGAGAAUACCAAGGCGCUUGAGAGAACUCGGGUGAAGGAACUAGGCAAAAUGGUGCCGUAACUUCGGGAGAAGGCACGCUGAUAUGUAGGUGAAGUCCCUCGCGGAUGGAGCUGAAAUCAGUCGAAGAUACCAGCUGGCUGCAACUGUUUAUUAAAAACACAGCACUGUGCAAACACGAAAGUGGACGUAUACGGUGUGACGCCUGCCCGGUGCCGGAAGGUUAAUUGAUGGGGUCAGCGCAAGCGAAGCUCUUGAUCGAAGCCCCGGUAAACGGCGGCCGUAACUAUAACGGUCCUAAGGUAGCGAAAUUCCUUGUCGGGUAAGUUCCGACCUGCACGAAUGGCGUAAUGAUGGCCAGGCUGUCUCCACCCGAGACUCAGUGAAAUUGAACUCGCUGUGAAGAUGCAGUGUACCCGCGGCAAGACGGAAAGACCCCGUGAACCUUUACUAUAGCUUGACACUGAACAUUGAGCCUUGAUGUGUAGGAUAGGUGGGAGGCUUAGAAGUGUGGACGCCAGUCUGCAUGGAGCCGACCUUGAAAUACCACCCUUUAAUGUUUGAUGUUCUAACGUUGACCCGUAAUCCGGGUUGCGGACAGUGUCUGGUGGGUAGUUUGACUGGGGCGGUCUCCUCCUAAAGAGUAACGGAGGAGCACGAAGGUUGGCUAAUCCUGGUCGGACAUCAGGAGGUUAGUGCAAUGGCAUAAGCCAGCUUGACUGCGAGCGUGACGGCGCGAGCAGGUGCGAAAGCAGGUCAUAGUGAUCCGGUGGUUCUGAAUGGAAGGGCCAUCGCUCAACGGAUAAAAGGUACUCCGGGGAUAACAGGCUGAUACCGCCCAAGAGUUCAUAUCGACGGCGGUGUUUGGCACCUCGAUGUCGGCUCAUCACAUCCUGGGGCUGAAGUAGGUCCCAAGGGUAUGGCUGUUCGCCAUUUAAAGUGGUACGCGAGCUGGGUUUAGAACGUCGUGAGACAGUUCGGUCCCUAUCUGCCGUGGGCGCUGGAGAACUGAGGGGGGCUGCUCCUAGUACGAGAGGACCGGAGUGGACGCAUCACUGGUGUUCGGGUUGUCAUGCCAAUGGCACUGCCCGGUAGCUAAAUGCGGAAGAGAUAAGUGCUGAAAGCAUCUAAGCACGAAACUUGCC
rnacentral:rRNA from 1 species